UACGUAGGUGGCGAGCGUUGUCCGGAUUUACUGGGCGUAAAGAGCGCGCAGGCGGCUGGUCAAGUCCGAUGUGAAAGCUCCCGGCUUAACUGGGAAAUUGCAUCGGAAACUAAUCGGCUGGAAGGUGGGAGAGGGUAGCGGAAUUCCCGGUGUAGUGGUGAAAUGCGUAGAUAUCGGGAGGAACACCAGUGGCGAAAGCGGGUCUCUGGGCCGAUACUGACGCUGAGGAGCGAAAGCGUGGGGAGCAAACAGG
rnacentral:rRNA from 1 species